rnacentral:rRNA from 1 species
AACGAACGCUGGCGGCAUGCCUAACACAUGCAAGUCGAACGAGACCUUCGGGUCUAGUGGCGCACGGGUGCGUAACGCGUGGGAAUCUGCCCUUGGUUCGGAAUAACAGUUAGAAAUGACUGCUAAUACCGGAUAAUGUCUUCGGACCAAAGAUUUAUCGCCCAGGGAUGAGCCCGCGUAGGAUUAGCUAGUUGGUGAGGUAAAGGCUCACCAAGGCGACGAUCCUUAGCUGGUCUGAGAGGAUGAUCAGCCACACUGGGACUGAGACACGGCCCAGACUCCUACGGGAGGCAGCAGUGGGGAAUAUUGGGACAAUGGGCGAAAGCCUGAUCCAGCAAUGCCGCGUGAGUGAUGAAGGCCUUAGGGUUGUAAAGCUCUUUUACCCGGGAUGAUAAUGGCAGUACCGGGAGAAUAAGCCCCCGGCUAACUCCGUGCCAGCAGCCGCGGUAAU